GCCUGGCUGGCUCAGUCAGUAGAGCAUGUGACUCUUGAUCUCAGGGGUGUGGGUUCGAGCCCCACAUUGAGUG
rfam:Mustela putorius furo unplaced genomic scaffold scaffold00051, whole genome shotgun sequence.